UUACCUUUAUUUACUUGCACUCACAUUUCUGAAGCUUCAGAUUUGUUCAAUGAGUUUUGCUUUUGCUUUUUUGUCCUUUUAUUGAUGAACAAAAGCAAGCAUGGCACAAGUCUCACUCAGGAAGACCAGUGACUAAUAGGCAACUAAAAGGGCCGUUGAUGUUGAAUAGAUGAACAAAAAGAGAAUAUGCUGUCAAGAAUAGCCCCAGCUCGACACCAUCCUAUAGAGGGCGACCUGUGAUCAGAUGCUAUAUUCUCACUGCAUGUGGCUGCCGUCCUAUUGAAGUAUAAUUUCCAUUUACAGAAGGGUUUUAAUCACCUCAAUUCUUUCAAUGUAAACUACUGUGGAAUGUAGUUUAAUGUGAUUAAGUAAAAGCGUUUAGUACUUACAUCUAAACUGCAUGUAUUAUGAUAUCUUUCAUCACUUUCAUCCCUUUAACUUGGUCAAUUUUAUUACAAUGUAUUUGUAAUGCUAAAAAUACUUGCUAUGAUUGCUUUUUUCAUAUGUAUAAAUAUGUUGUUUGUUCGGAUGAUGCACUUCUUUGAAGCAAUUGCACACACCAAUUGGGAUUAAUUAAGUAAAUGUAACUCUACUCAGCAUCAACUUCCAGAAAGAGUUAGUAAAACUGGUUUAAAUGCUUGUUAUCGAGUGUUUUUCCUAAAUGCAAUAAGAAUGUCAUUGUGGAGAUAAAGGUUGACGUAACUCAAGCAAUAAAUAAACAAAAAUAUGUAUCUUACCUCUCUUUAUUAUUAGAAACAACACAGUGGGAGAUGACUCACCUUGUAAAGCUUUAUACA
ensembl:lncRNA